rnacentral:rRNA from 1 species
UACGUAGGGUGCGAGCGUUAAUCGGAAUUACUGGGCGUAAAGCGUGCGCAGGCGGUGAUGUAAGACCGAUGUGAAAUCCCCGGGCUUAACCUGGGAACUGCAUUGGUGACUGCAUUGCUGGAGUAUGGCAGAGGGGGGUGGAAUUCCACGUGCAGCAGUGAAAUGCGUAGAGAUGUGGAGGAACACCGAUGGCGAAGGCAGCCCCCUGGGCCAAUACUGACGCUCAUGCACGGAAGCGUGGGGAGCAAACAGG